UACGAGGACGACGCUGGCGGCGCGCCUAACACAUGCAAGUCGAACGAGCGAGAGAGAGCUUGCUUUCCCGAGCGAGUGGCGAACGGGUGAGUAACGCGUGAGGAACCUGCCUCAAAGAGGGGGACAACAGUUGGAAACGACUGCUAAUACCGCAUAAGCCCACGGGUCGGCAUCGACCAGAGGGAAAAGGAGCAAUCCGCUUUGAGAUGGCCUCGCGUCCGAUUAGCUAGUUGGUGAAGUAAUGGCCCACCAAGGCGACGAUCGGUAGCCGGACUGAGAGGUUGAACGGCCACAUUGGGACUGAGACACGGCCCAGACUCCUACGGGAGGCAGCAGUGGGGAAUAUUGCACAAUGGGGGAAACCCUGAUGCAGCGACGCCGCGUGGAGGAAGAAGGUCUUCGGAUUGUAAACUCCUGUUGUUGGGGAAGAUAAUGACGGUACCCAACAAGGAAGUGACGGCUAACUACGUG
rnacentral:rRNA from 1 species